GGGGGAACGGGAGCUGGAAUGAGGCGGGGCGGGGCCGAGCGGAGGUGAGGAAGAGUGGAGGAAUCGUCGAGUUACGGAGCGCCAUUAAGGACAAGUUUGGCCACGUGAUUUUCCUUUUUUUUUUUUUUUUUUUUUUUGUUUUCCCGCCCUGGUGAGACUGUAAGGUUGAGGUCCAAGAAGGGAAAGUUUGAUUGGAGAAGAUGAAAAAGAAAUUGGAAACUGGAUAUGGUUGGUGAGGAAGUUGGAAGAAGGAGCCUGGACUUAGGAAAGUCCCACAGUGGAACUUCCGCAACCAUUUACGCCCUACGACAUUAAAGGAAAAAAAAAACAACAAACCACCUGUGAGCGGAGAGACUUCCCAUUCAGUCAUUGGCAUCAGCAUGCAGGCAGCUGCUCCAGAAGCAAAGGAAAGGACUACAGGGAA